UACGUAGGCAGCGAGCGUUGUUCGGAAUUACUGGGCGUAAAGAGUGUGUAGGCGGUGCUCUAAGUUCGGUGUGAAAUCUCCCGCUUAACUGGGAGGGUGCGCCGGAAACUGGAGUGCUCGAACGUGGGAGAGGAAAGCGGAAUUCCUGGUGUAGCGGUGAAAUGCGUAGAUAUACGGGAGGAAUACCAGUGGCGAAGGCGGCUUCCUGGCCUGUUCUUGACGGCUGAGGCGCGAAAGCUAGGGUAGCAAACGGG
rnacentral:rRNA from 1 species